rnacentral:rRNA from 1 species
UGGGGAAUUUUGGACAAUUGGGCGAAAGCCUGAUCCAGCAAUGCCGCGUGUGUGAAGAAGGCCUUCGGGUUGUAAAGCACUUUUGUCCGGAAAGAAAUCCUUGGCUCUAAUACAGUCGGGGGAUGACGGUACCGGAAGAAUAAGCACCGGCUAACUACGUGCCAGCAGCCGCGGUAAUACGUAGGGUGCAAGCGUUAAUCGGAAUUACUGGGCGUAAAGCGUGCGCAGGCGGUUUGCUAAGACCGAUGUGAAAUCCCCGGGCUCAACCUGGGAACUGCAUUGGUGACUGGCAGGCUAGAGUAUGGCAGAGGGGGGUAGAAUUCCACGUGUAGCAGUGAAAUGCGUAGAGAUGUGGAGGAAUACCGAUGGCGAAGGCAGCCCCCUGGGCAAUACUGACGCUCAUGCACGAAAGCGUGGGGAGCAAACAGGAUUAGAUACCCUGGUAGUCCACGCCCUAAACGAUGUCAACUAGUUGUUGGGGAUUCAUUUCCUAGUAACGUAGCUAACGCGUGAAGUUGACCGCCUGGGGAGUACGGUCGCAAGAUUAAAACUCAAAUGAAUUGACGGGGUCAUAGCUGUUUCCU